CACGCUCUUCUUCCUCCUCUUCCGCUCCCCGCAUCAUCAUGGGGCGCGUCAGGACGAAGACGGUGAAGAAGGCCGCGCGGGUCAUCAUAGAGAAGUACUACACUCGUCUGGGCAACGACUUCCACACCAACAAGCGUGUGUGUGAGGAGAUCGCCAUCAUCCCCAGCAAGAAGCUGCGCAACAAGAUCGCCGGGUAUGUGACACACCUGAUGAAGCGCAUCCAGCGAGGGCCUGUGCGCGGCAUCUCCAUCAAACUGCAGGAGGAGGAGCGCGAGCGCAGGGACAACUACGUGCCCGAGGUUUCGGCUCUGGAUCAGGAGAUCAUCGAGGUCGACACUGACACCAAGGAGAUGCUCAAGCUUCUGGACUUCGGGAGCCUGUCAAAUCUUCAGGUCACGCAGCCUCCGGUCGGCAUGAACUUCAAGACCCCGAGAGGAGUGUGAACACCUGUGUGUGUGUGUGUGUGUGUGAGAGUCUGAUGAUGAUGGACAGGUGUGUGUGUGUGUUCUGAUGAUGAUGGACAGGUGUGUGUGUGUGAGAGAGUCUGAUGAUGAUGGACAGGUGUG